rnacentral:piRNA from 1 species
UGGACACAAGUGGGUCCUCGAGUGCUGGU